CUGGCGGCGUGCUUAACACAUGCAAAGUCGAACGAUGAACCACUUCGGGUGGGGAUUAGUGGCGAACGGGUGAGUAACACGUGGGCAAUCUGCCCUGCACUCUGGGACAAGCCCUGGAAACGGGGUCUAAAUACCGGAUACUGACCUUCACGGGCAUCUGUGAAGGUCGAAAGCUCCGGCGGUGCAGGAUGAGCCCGCGGCCUAUCAGCUUGUUGGUGAGGUAAUGGCUCACCAAGGCGACGACGGGUAGCCGGCCUGAGAGGGCGACCGGCCACACUGGGACUGAGACACGGCCCAGACUCCUACGGGAGGCAGCAGUGGGGAAUAUUGCACAAUGGGCGAAAGCCUGAUGCAGCGACGCCGCGUGAGGGAUGACGGCCUUCGGGUUGUAAACCUCUUUCAGCAGGGAAGAAGCGAAAGUGACGGUACCUGCAGAAGAAGCGCCGGCUAACUACGUGCCAGCAGCCGCGGUAAUACGUAGGGCGCAAGCGUUGUCCGGAAUUAUUGGGCGUAAAGAGCUCGUAGGCGGCUUGUCACGUCGGUUGUGAAAGCCCGGGGCUUAACCCCGGGUCUGCAGUCGAUACGGGCAGGCUAGAGUUCGGUAGGGGAGAUCGGAAUUCCUGGUGUAGCGGUGAAAUGCGCAGAUAUCAGGAGGAACACCGGUGGCGAAGGCGGAUCUCUGGGCCGAUACUGACGCUGAGGAGCGAAAGCGUGGGGAGCGAACAGGAUUAGAUACCCUGGUAGUCCACGCCGUAAACGGUGGG
rnacentral:rRNA from 1 species